rnacentral:rRNA from 1 species
GAUUAACGCUGGCGGCGUGCAUAACACAUGCAAGUCGAACGAUGAAACUCAUUAGAUUUCUUCGGAACGAAAAUGAAUGGAUUAGUGGCGAACGGGUGAGUAACGCGUGAGUAACCUGCCUUACACAAGGGGAUAGCCUCUGGAAACGGAGAAUAAUACCCUAUGAAACCAGACAAUCGCAUGAUAAUCUGGUCAAAAUGUUUAGUGGUGUAAGAUGGACUUGCGUCUGAUUAGCUAGUUGGUGAGAUAAAAGCUCACCAAGGCAACGAUCAGUAGCCGGCUUGAGAGAGUGUACGGCCACAUUGGGACUGAGACACGGCCCAGACUCCUACGGGAGGCAGCAGUGGGGAAUUUUGCACAAUGGGGGAAACCCUGAUGCAGCGACGCCGCGUGAUUUAGAAGGCCUUCGGGUUGUAAAAAUCUUUUGUAUAGGAAGAAAAUGACAGUACUAUACGAAUAAGGUCCGGCUAAUUACGUG